CCUACGGGAGGCAGCAGUGAGGAAUAUUGGACAAUGGGCGCGAGCCUGAACCAGCCAAGUAGCGUGAAGGAUGACUGCCCUACGGGUUGUAAACUUCUUUUAUAAAGGAAUAAAGUGAGGCACGUGUGCCUUUUUGUAUGUACUUUAUGAAUAAGGAUCGGCUAACUCCGUGCCAGCAGCCGGGGUAAUACGGAGGAACCGAGCGUUAUCCGGAUUUAUUGGGUUGAAAGGGAGCGUAGAUGGGUGGUUAAGUCAGUUGUGAAAGUUUGGGGCUCAACCGUAAAAUUGCAAUUGAUACUGGCAGCCUUGAGUACAGUUGAGGUAGGCGGAAUUCGUGGUGUAGCGGUGAAAUGCGUAGAUAUUACGAAGAACUCCGAUUGCGAAGGCAGCUUACUAAACUGCCACUGACAUUGAUGCUCGAAAGUGUGGGUAGCAAACAGGAUUAGAUACCCUUGUAGUC
rnacentral:rRNA from 1 species